rnacentral:rRNA from 1 species
UACAGAGGGUGCAAGCGUUGUUCGGAAUUAUUGGGCGUAAAGCGCACGUAGGCGGCCUCGCAAGUCGGAUGUGAAAUCCCUCGGCUCAACCAAGGAAGUGCAUCCGAAACUGCAGUGCUUGAGUACAGAAGAGGAUCGCGGAAUUCCCGGUGUAGAGGUGAAAUUCGUAGAUAUCGGGAGGAACACCAGUGGCGAAGGCGGCGAUCUGGGCUGAUACUGACGCUGAGGUGCGAAAGCGUGGGGAGCAAACAGG